rnacentral:rRNA from 1 species
GACGAACGCUGGCGGCGUGCUUAACACAUGCAAGUCGAACGGUAAGGCCCUUCGGGGUACACGAGUGGCGAACGGGUGAGUAACACGUGGGUGAUCUGCCCCGCACUUCGGGAUAAGCCUGGGAAACUGGGUCUAAUACCGGAUAGGACCACUGCCUGCAUGGGCGGUGGUGGAAAGCUUUUGCGGUGUGGGAUGGGCCCGCGGCCUAUCAGCUUGUUGGUGGGGUGAUGGCCUACCAAGGCGACGACGGGUAGCCGGCCUGAGAGGGUGACCGGCCACACUGGGACUGAGAUACGGCCCAGACUCCUACGGGAGGCAGCAGUGGGGAAUAUUGCACAAUGGGCGCAAGCCUGAUGCAGCGACGCCGCGUGAGGGAUGACGGCCUUCGGGUUGUAAACCUCUUUCAGCACCGACGAAGCGCAAGUGACGGUAGGUGCAGAAGAAGGACCGGCCAACUACGUGCCAGCCGCCGCAGUAA